rnacentral:rRNA from 1 species
AGAACGAACGCUGGCGGCGUGCCUGAGACAUGCAAGUCGUGGGAGAAAGUCGGGGCAACUCGGCGAGUAAACCGGCGCACGGGUGAGUAACACGUGGAUAACCUGCCCUGGAGACUGGGAUAACCCGUCGAAAGACGGACUAAUACCAGAUAAGACCACGGACAGUUCGCUGUCCGAGGUAAAAGGUGGCCUCUGCUCCUGCAAGCUAUCACUCCGGGAGGGGUCCGCGGCCUAUCAGCUAGUUGGCGGGUAACGGCCCACCAAGGCAAAGCGGGUAGC